AACGCGAAGAACCUUACCUGGGCUCGAACGGCUAUGGAUCAGCGGUAGAAAUAUCGCCUUCCCGCAAGGGACUGUAGUCGAGGUGCUGCAUGGCUGUCGUCAGCUCGUGUCGUGAGAUGUUGGGUUAAGUCCCGCAACGAGCGCAACCCUUGUCCUGUGUUGCCAUCAUUAAGUUGGGCACUCUCGGGAGACCGCCAGCGAUAAGUUGGAGGAAGGUGGGGAUGAUGUCAAGUCAUCAUGGCCUUUAUGUCCAGGGCUACACACGUGCUACAAUGGACGGUACAAACCGCUGCAAACCCGCGAGGGGGAGCCAAUCGGAAAAAACCGUUCUCAGUUCGGAUCGCAGGCUGCAACUCGCCUGCGUGAAGCUGGAAUCGCUAGUAAUGGCGUAUCAGAACGACGCCGUGAAUACGUUCCCGGGCCUUGUACACACCGUAGUAC
rnacentral:rRNA from 1 species